AGACAUUAAUCUUAAGUAUCCAGGGAGCCCUAAAACAUUGUAUCCCACUAGCAAGGACCAUGGUAAUUGCCACGUAAAUCCCCUCCAUUAUGUGGCCCUUAUUAUGACCAGCCAGCCAAGGCUUGCCUUUAAAUCAUACCAAUUGAACCGAGCCUUGUAGAAACACUAUCACCUACGCAUACCUCUGCUUCUUUUCAUUAACCUGCUAUCCUCUUUACAAAUGGGAUUCUUCACCCACUCCCUUCUUCUAGAUUAGCAAUGCCCUGUUAAGUAAACGAACACGAAAUUCAAAGGGAAACAGGAGCAAUCAUCAUUACCAGCUGCCGUGUUAAGCAUUGCGAAAACGCUCACGAUUCACAGAAAAAUCCAUGCUGUUCUUUGAAGGCAUUCAAGCCUUAAUAGCUAGCUGGAUGAAUGUUUAACUUCUAGGCCAGGCACUACUCUGUCCCAACAAUAAGCCCUGUACAUUGGGAAAGGUGCCGAGACAUGAACUUUGGUCUUCUCUGCAAUCCAUCUGGAGCAUUCACUGACAACAUCGACUUUGAAGUUGCACUGACCUGGCCAGCCCUGCCACUUACCAGGUUGGCUCUGUAUGGCUAAGCGUUUUCUCCUAAAAUCCCUUGAAAACUGUGAGAAGACCAUAAGAAGAUCAUAUCUUUAAUUCUAUUUCACAAGUCACACAAUAUUCCAAUCAAAUACAGAUGGUUGAGAAAAGUCAUCCAUCUUCCCUCCCCACCCUCCCACAGCCCCUCAACCACUGCCCUGAAACUUAUAUGCUGUUAUCCGCAGCUCCAUCUGGAGCAUCACAGCUACUGUCAACCCUGACGCUCUUUCUGAAAAAACACCGGAUGGACAUCAGAACUAUUUCUUUAAGGAUGUUACUGAGCCACACAGGAAAACUUGCCUUAUGAUUUUGAAUGCACGGAUCUGAUUUGACUAAACAUGAUAACUAGAGAAUCACCCAAUCUACUCCCAUUUUCAACUCUAAAUCAUCAGAGUGUCUCAAAUCCAAAGCACACACAGACCAGCCUGGCCAACACGGUGAAACUCCACCCCUACUAAAAGUAUAAAAAUUAUCCAGGUGUGGUGGCGGGCGCCUGUAAUCCAAGCUACUUGGGAGUCUGGAGGCAGGAGAAUCCCUUGAACCUGGGAGAUGGAGGUUGCAGUGAGCAGAGAUCACACCACCGCACUCUAGCCUGGGCCACAAAUCAACAACAACAACAACAACAAAAAACAAAGCGCACACAGAGACUGAGGUCCUCUUUGGCAUUGAGAAGAUGGCUAUGCAAGUCCCAACUAGCAAGUGCAAACUUCCCAGCUUCACUUCUGCCAGUGUCCCUUCACCCCUUCUCAACCCCACUGGGAGGCAGGAGGGUGCUUGACAAUAACAGCCUUGGCAUCACUCUGCCAGGGUGUAAUAGGAACUGUUACAAUUCUGAGAUUCUGUAAGUGCUUUGAGAUUUUGGAGUCAGACUGCUUGAACUUGAAUCCUGGCCCUCUCAUCAGAGACUUGACUUAUUUUAGGCAAGUUAUAUAACCAAUUUUACCUCAGUUCCUUACCCAUAAAAUGGGUCUAAUGAGAGUACCUACCACACAGAAUUUUGAUGAAAACUGAAUGAGAUGAAGGCCUUUAAGGCAGUGGUCCCCAACCCUGGGGACACAGACAGGUACCAUUUUGUGGCCUGUUAGGAACUGGGCCACACAGCAGGAGGUGAGCAGUGGGUGAGUGAGAUCAGCGUUAUUUACAGCUGCUCCCCAUUGCUCACCUUACUGCCUGAGCUCCACCUCCUGUCAGAUCAGCAGUGGCAUUAAAUUCUCAUAGCAGCACAAACCCUGUCAUGAACUGCACAUGCGAGGGAUCUAGGUUGUGCGCUCCUUAUGAGAAUCUAAUGCCUAAUGACCUGUCACCGUCUCCCAUCACCCCUAGAUGGGAGUGUCUAGUUGCAGGAAACAAGCUCAGGGCUUCCACUGAUUCUACAUUAUGGUGAGUUGUAUAAUUAUUUCAUUAUAUAAUACAAUGUAAUAAUAAUAGAAACACAGUGCACAACAAAUGUAAUGUGCUUGAAUCAUCCCCAAACCAUCCCAGUCCACGGUCUUCCACAUUUUGUCUUUUCACAAAAUUGUCUUCCACAAAACUGGUCCCUGGUGCCAAAAAGGCUUGGGACCACUGCUUUAAAGCCUUUGCAUAGUGCUUAGAAUUGAGGGGGAAAAAAAAAACAAAAACAAUGUAGCUAGUUGCUACAAUCACUAUAUUGGUGAGUUUCAAAAGGAAAAGAAUUCUGUCCCAUUUAUGCUUGAGCCUUGAGUUGCUAACCAAGCCUGACACAAAAUUACUGUUGAAGGGAUGUGUGAGUCCUAAUUGAAAUGAGGCCUCUUAAGGGAAUUGUGGACCAAACCCCAAGCAGGCAGAAAGCCGUAUCUUAAUUAUUGCAAGUAUUUCAGGCAAGGUGUGGAUGGCCAUUUGAAUUCAAGCAGACUAGGACCUGGGAUGAGAAAGAAGGUGUGUACGUGACUUGAUCUUUGAACUUUAGCUCACCAUCUGGAAGAAGGCUGAGUAUUCUCUGCACUCACAUAGUAGCUAAUGCCUACUCCCCAGCCACCCACAAUUCUUUCUGUAGGAAGGCUCGCUAGAAUACUUUGUGAUAUUGGAUAUUAGUUCCAUAUUCUACUGUGUAUCUUAGUUCAACCAAAUUGUAAUCAUCUGAUAUUUAUUUCUUUUAAUAUAAAUAUAAGUAUAUUAAGUCUUGGCAUGCUUGCUCAGUCUCUCUCUCUCUCCCAUUCCUCCCCGCUCCCCUCUCUCUUUCCCAACAGGCUUGGAAAGCAGGCAUCACCAUGCCUAUUUAACAGUUGGGGUCCCUUGGCCACCAGGUGCUGGAGUAGGAAUCUGAGCCCGGACAUGCCUGAUCUGUAAAUUUUGUGUUUUCCCCACUGUGCUGGGCAGAUCACAGCUAUCAGCGCCAAAUUCAUAGAAGGGGCGCCCCCUGUGGUCAAUUGAGGGAUUUGUGUUUGAGGUAGAUCUCAAGAAGGAAUGGGUGGGGAACUUAGCCUAGGACAGAGCAGAAAGGAGCCCUCACUCCCCAAGCACCAACGGCCUCAGUCCUUCCUGCUGACUCCAGCCUCUAGCUCUCACCCAGACUAUCUGCAUCCUUCUCUCCACCACGCUCCUUUGGAACCUGCGUAAAACACAGAUUAAAGGAAUUCCGCCUUACUUCCCUUUCCGCAUUAUGACCAAAUGGUUUUACACUAUCAUUGAACAGUUUAGUACAAAACAUGCCACCUUUUAAUCUAUUCAUUCAUUUAACAAAUACUUUGGAGUGUUUACCAUGUGCCAAGUGCUGUUCUAAUAGACAUAAGCUGUGAGGUUAUGCUUAUCUGAUUCUCACAGCAACAGCUUUCGAGAUAUGAAUUGGUAUACUCAUUUGACAGAUGAGGAAAUUGAAUUCAUGUAGUGAGAAAGGAAGAGCUGCAAUUCAGGGUUACUGGUUUCUCCUGCACUAAGCACUGAGCCACACUAGAAGAGAAGGCAUGAGGAAGACAAAAGUGAGAAGGCACUCAGGAAAUAUUAGUUGCAUGAACGAAGGCUGCAUUUUCAUUAGAACAACAUGCAGUUCAACCCCUUCAUGUUUCAAUGAGGGUUCAGAUACCCAGAGGGCUAUGCUAUCAUCCUGGAGCCCACUCUGCUAACAAUUAGCAGAACGGAAGCCUUAAUUUCCAGAUUCUAGUGAACUUGAUGAGUCAAGACUAUUGCAAUUGGAAAUCUGUUCUCCUCUGCUGCUGCAUUCCCUGCUUAAUACUCAAGCCAGAAACCAGGAAGGCUGUGGCUUGCCUUUUCACUUCUUGUGUCCUGUUUAAGAAAUAUCUGCUAUCCCAAGCAUCUGGCAUCUUUCUUGACAUAUGUAGCAGUUGCUUUUUGACAGCUUGCUUCUUCAGUGAAUGAAUAAAUUAAUAAAGAGAAAUGUGAUGUUCAGUGAUCCAUUUUGCAGGAUAAACCAGUAUUCUGGACUAAGCCAACGUGGGAGACCCUAGGAGGCCUGUUUGAGAAAGUGACAUUUAAAUUGAGACUUGGCGGUGGCUGUGGCUACAUAUCUAAUUGCAAACUCCUAGAGAAGGGCUCAACAGUGAGUGCUGAGGCUGCACAGAGGAGGAAGGCAGCACAAUGAUGGAAGGCUUCCUAAAGAGAUAACACUAACAAAGUUGACCUUAGAAUUGGAGUGCCUGGGUUAGAACCCUGCUGGUACCACCUGCUUACUGCAUGCUUCUGAUGUGAGUUCAGGAGAAGACACUGGCAAGGACAGCAAAGAACAGGAGAACACUCUAGCUUCCCUGAUAGCAUUCAAGGUGCUGUCCAAAGCUCUUGAGUUUCUGCUUUCAAGUGACCCUCAGAAAUUCCUCCAUUCACUGCAGAGGUUCUGUUUCUCCUUGCUUUGUUCUGACUUUACGGCAGAACUAAGCUAAUGAGUUAGUUACUAUGGGUUAUCACUUGGAUUUGAAGAACCAUCAUUUCUAGGCAUUGCUGCUCAGAGUGACCUUGCCAUCGUAUCCCCUUUUGGAGACACAAGCCAGGAAGGAAGCUCUUCAGUGCAGCUGUGAAUAGAGAAAUGCUGGCUGAGGUUUUGGAGACACUGGGUGAUCAUUCCCAGUGAAAUUUUUAGAUCCCUGGGGACAUGAGCUGCUUUGUCUUUUCCAAGGCUGAAAAAGUUUUGGAAGCCCUCCUAAGCAGGUGCCAGACCCUUUUUUGGCCAGAGACAGGAUCUUACGCUGUUGCCCAGGCUGGAGUGCAAUAGUGUCAUCAUGGCUCACUGUAGCCUGGAACUGCUGGGCUCAAGGGAUCCUCCCAGCUCAGCCUCCCAAGUAGCUAGGAGUAAAGUUGGAGGAACUGGUUAUUUUCCCAGGGCUUUGACUGAAAUGGCCUUGUGAAUGGUUCCAGGAAAGCCAAUUUUGGAGACCCUAUGUGGAUGAUGAUGCUUGCUGUACUUUCUGUGGGUAAUCGGGCCAAGUAUAUGGGACUGAAGCUAAUUUUGCAGGUGAGAAAAUGGAGGUCCAGAGAGAAAAGUGACUCACCCAAGCUGAAAACAGUUGCAGGAAGAAAAGCCAGGACAGAACUGGGCUGUUAGAAACCUUGGAGUACACUAAAGAUGAGGAACUGAGUCACCGCAAUGCCAAAUGUAACACGCUGUGGGUCAAAAUUUGGAUGGUUGCGUUGGAAAUUAUUCUGAAGCCACAGACAGGGCUAAAAGAGUCUAGAAUGUCCUACUAGCUGUUGGAACCUGCUGGAGUUCUAAAGGCAUGCGAUGUCCUGAAUGUGCUUGACCAAUGGACACAGCAGGUAUUUGAAGAGUUUUGAUGCUUCCUUUCUGUUUUCAGUGCUAUUUUUUUGCUUUAUUUCUUUUAAAAAACUUUCCCCACAGAGGCUAUUUAUUACACAGCAGCAGCCAGCAUGCACCAAGCAGAACUGCUUUUCAUAAUAAACCUAUUUAUCUUCUGGCAUGUCAGAAAUUUCUCAAAUUGAUACUUAUAAUAAAUAUGAUUAAUAACACAUUGUA
rnacentral:lncRNA from 1 species